CCUACGGGUUGCAGCAGUGGGAAUAUUGCACAAUGGGCGCAAGCCUGAUGCAGCCAUGCCGCGUGUGUGAAGAAGGCCUUCGGGUUGUAAAGCACUUUCAGCGGGGAGGAAGGCGAUAAGGUUAAUAACCUUGUCGAUUGACGUUACCCGCAGAAGAAGCACCGGCUAACUCCGUGCCAGCAGCCGCGGUAAUACGGAGGGUGCAAGCGUUAGUCGGAAUUACUGGGCGUAAAGCGCACGCAGGCGGUCUGUCAAGUCGGAUGUGAAAUCCCCGGGCUCAACCUGGGAACUGCAUUCGAAACUGGCAGGCUAGAGUCUUGUAGAGGGGGGUAGAAUUCCAGGUGUAGCGGUGAAAUGCGUAGAGAUCUGGAGGAAUACCGGUGGCGAAGGCGGCCCCCUGGACGAAGACUGACGCUCAGGUGCGAAAGCGUGGGGAGCAAACAGGAUUAGAUACCCGCGUAGUC
rnacentral:rRNA from 1 species